GAUGAAGAACGUAGCGAAAUGCGAUACGUAAUGUGAAUUGCAAAUUCAGUGAAUCAUCGAGUCUUUGAACGCACAUUGCGCCCCCUGGUAUUCCGGGGGGCAUGCCUGUCCGAGCGUCAUUGCUGCCCUCAAGCACGGCUUGUGUGUUGGGCCCCGUCCUCCGAUCCCGGGGGACGGGCGCGAAAGGCAGCGGCGGCACCGCGUCCGGUCCUCGAGCGUAUGGGGCUUUGUCACCCGCUCUGUAGGCCCGGCCGGCGCUUGCCGAUCAACCCAAAUUUUUAUCCAGGUUGACCUCGGAUCAGGUAGGGAUACCCGCUGAACUUAAGCAUAUCAAUAAGCGGAGA
rnacentral:misc_RNA from 1 species